UUCAACCAACUAUUCAUUUCAACAACUAUCCAACUAACUAUUCAUUUCUGGAAACUCAGCAACUAUCUUGCUAAAAGCUCAACUCAGGUAAGCAAUUUCUCUUUCACCAUUCUAGCUGCCAUUGUAGAUCUUGUCAUUCAAUUCAUUAUUUGACUAUUGCUAUUAUAAAUAACAAUCUAUUUUGUUUUGGCUAGGCCUUUGAAUUUCCACUUGACUUGGUUUGGAAUUAAAACCACUUGGCUUGGCUUGAAUUUGAUGACCACAUCCAAACACCAACACAGCCCAACCCUCAAAUCCCUAACUCCUGCAACUUUAGACUUUGAGAACUUGGUCACGUUUUGAAAAACAAUUGGUAUGGUUUCAGAUUGAUAGAAACCAUAGAUUCGCAUCGCCUAUUUGCUGAAAGCACAAAUAGAAUUGCUGAUCUGUAUUGCUUGAAUGAAGACACCCGAUCGGCCCGACUUUCCCAAAUGCCCACCACAGGCCCUGCUCAUUUCCGAGUCUAUUUUUUCAAGGGUGUGAUUUUGAUUCCUCCAUAUUAGUCCAAAUGGUUGAACUAAAAUGUUAGGCCCUCAUUGUUACUCUUUUAUUAAAUCUCAAUCUCUUUAAACCCAACAACAAAUUCAAGUGAGAGAAAUAUUGAAUAACGGAGGUGGAACUUACAGAGGCACGCAACAGAUCUGGGUAUGGGGCUUGGUCGAUGUCGAAAACCCAGGUAGGGUUGAGAGAUUUCGGGGCGAUCGGGAGGUGCGAUGGGCAAUCGGGAAAGGCAAUGGGUCUUCGUCGAUGAACAAGAACUUGCAGACGAAGGGGACGAACAAGAGAAGAGACUCAAUUCCAACUUUGACGAAGACGUUGGCCAAACGUUGGCCCAGAUCAACCCAGAGAGAGAGAGAAGAUGAGUUUUUUUUUUUUUUUUCCCAUUUAUUUUAUGUUUUAUGUGGAGUCCACGUCAAUUAAAAAAAGGAUCCCACAAAUGUCACGUAGGCAGAUAACGGAUUUUCUGAAGAUCUCGUUAACGGAGGGGACAAAUUGUAGGUUUUUCGCGACGUUGAGUAUGUACUCAUAAAUGUCCCCAAAAUCGGGUAUGCACUCGUAAAUGACCCUAUAGGUUGGGGAGUUUACUGUAAUUUGUCCUUUUUGUGUGUGUAAACUAUAUUAUAUUUUUUGUAUUUUUGUUUUAAUAAAUUCUAUUCCCAAAAAAUU
rnacentral:lncRNA from 1 species